rnacentral:rRNA from 1 species
GAUGAACGCUGGCGGCGUGCCUAAUACAUGCAAGUCGAGCGAACAGAUGAGGAGCUUGCUCCUCUGACGUUAGCGGCGGACGGGUGAGUAACACGUGGAUAACCUACCUAUAAGACUGGGAUAACUUCGGGAAACCGGAGCUAAUACCGGAUAAUAUAUUGAACCGCAUGGUUCAAUAGUGAAAGACGGUUUUGCUGUCACUUAUAGAUGGAUCCGCGCCGCAUUAGCUAGUUGGUAAGGUAACGGCUUACCAAGGCAACGAUGCGUAGCCGACCUGAGAGGAGGAUCGGCCACACUGGAACUGAGACACGGUCCAGACUCCUACGGGAGGCAGCAGUAGGGAAUCUUCCGCAAUGGGCGAAAGCCUGACGGAGCAACGACGCGUGAGUGAUGAAGGUCGUCGGAUCGUAAAACUCUGUUAUUAGGGAAGAACAAAUGUGUAAGUAACUAUGCACGUCUUGACGGUACCUAAUCAGAAAGCCACGGCUAACUACGUG